AGUCCAGUCAAAGGGGUCAGUGGUAACCACAGUAACCAUGAGCUCCCACCAACCCUUCCAUAAAGACAUCCAUGUCUUGGGACAGCUAAAAGUUGCUUUUUAAUGUCCAUGAAUAUUUAUUUUGUAUUGUUGGAAAAAUGCUUUUCUUAGUUUAGAAAUAUAAUAUAUGUGAUAGAUUUAAUAGAUAGAUAAGUAAAGUGACAUAAUGAUAAUAUUAGUUUUUAAAUUUCAGUGUAUGCCAAUGGAUGUUUCCUACAGAAUAAUCAUAAAGAAAUGACUUCUCAGAUGAUACACAAACAUACAGACAUCAAAAGAGUUAACUUUUUUUGUAUAUUUUAUUGAAUCUUUUCUACUAUUUUUCUCAGUCCACAUUUUCAUAUUAAUCACUACUAUGUUAGACCAGUUUUCCCCUUCACUGCAAUAGCAGUCAUCUACUUAAGAGCUCAAACCUCAGACCUUCCCUCCAACUCAAUCUUCUCCUUUCCCCAGGAAAAUACAUUCCUGUCUUUAAAAAGAUCAGAUUUUUUCCCCCCUAAUUUUUAGAUGCCACAGUGGGCAUCAUAACAUUCAGAAAUUUCAAGGUUGAAGUUACACAUAAAUUUGUAAAUAGGAAGAAGCCAGGAAUGCACGACCAUGCUUUCCUGCUUCCGAAUCAUUAUAAGUCAUUGAAGAAACUUAACAUGUCAAGACAUUAUGCUCUAACAGUCAUAUUGCCCUACAUUAAGUAUCCGCGGUCUAUAUUAUAUUAAUAUUACUAAGAAAUAUGGAGAGUCGGUGCUGUGGUUGGAGCUCUCAUUAGAAACACAUCUCUAACUCUAUCUGUACAUCAAACACAGUUUUCUUUUUUUUUCCAUUUUUUUUUGUAAUACUAAAAAAACAAAUUAACAUUAAUUAUUAGAAGAAGAGCUUGGUCUCAUCUCAUUGGCAAACGAACAUCACAAAAAAAUUAAAAUAACAUCUAAAAAAAAAAGGCCACAAUGCUAAACAGUAUGUCACCUUCCAGUGGUGUUUGUUGGAAAAGAGAAACAGAAUGAAGUGAGUACAUAAAAUUAUGGCAAAAUGUCUGAUAAGAUUGUGUGCUGAAAGAGAGAGAGAGAGAGAGAGAGAGAGAGAGAGAGAGAGAGAGAGAGAGAGAGAGAGAGAGAGAGAGAGAGAGAGA